AGAUGCUUGACUCUUUCCUGCUGCCUAGUCUGCUGAGCAGAGCUUCAGUCUCCACCAUCAAUCAUCCAGUGAGGAAUUUGCACUUACACAAGGAACUCUUCCUCGGAGAGAUCCCCUCCUGAACCCACCUGCAGUUCACCAGCCCCAGACCAAGAGCACCUUCUCUAUGCCUCUCUGAAAUGUCCAUCCACUCCAGAGAACCAGCCCCUGACACCCACCCCCUUGCCCUGCCUGCACCGAUUGUGCAAGGAGGGAAGGUCAACAGAGCCAAGUCCAUUGAGGGAUAUCAAGAGAAGCCAGAGUAAACCCUUGAUCUGCGCCAUCUUGUCUGCUCGUGGCUGACAAAGAGAAGGGAAGAUGGAGCCACCAUCUUGAAAACUUCUAGUCCUUAGUUCCUGCCGGCAUUCACCCGUGCAAGCUCCCAGCUUGUUUGUGUCUGCAGCUCGCCUUUACAGGAUGCUCUUUGUUAGAAAAUGAUUUGGGGCUGCUUUUCAUUAAAAAGAAAAGCCUCACUGAGGACUCCCAUAACCUUACUAUCUGCGU
rnacentral:lncRNA from 1 species